AUAAAUGUUGAGUUGUUGUUUGUUUUUGAGGCGAGAACUUCGUAAAAGCAGCAUGAUUCAUUAUAUAAGAGUUGAUAUUAAUAUGAGAUCAAGUGACAUGAUAAUAUUAAUCUUUGUUUGUUAUCUUUUUUAGGAAAAAUAAUUAAAUUAUCUUUACUAAAUUUUGAUCAUUUUUUAUUGAAUUUUUUAAGUAUAUACCCUCCAAAAUAUGCUUGAUUGUAUGAAUAUCUUGCAAAGUUGUUACUUGCAUAUGUAUCCUUAUAAAGUUUUUUUUUUGGGCAUCUACUUGUAAGAAUAUUUCAGUAUUUUAAUUUUAAAUUGUUUAUUUUUUAACAGCGUUAGAUAGUAUGGAUACAUAUAUAAAAAAAUAAAAAAAGAAUCUACAAGAAAAAUAAGUAUUUUAUAAGGAUAUAUAUGUAAAUAGCAAUUUUACAAAGAUAUUUAUACAAUUUGGUAUAUUUUAGAGGGUAUGCAAAUAAGUAUUUUAUAAGGAUAUAUAUGUAUGCCUUGUGUAAAGUUUAGUUCGGGAGAACAAGAAGAAAAGUAAAAUGGUUUAAUAUGAAAUUUCCAUGUUCCUGGAAUGGUAUGAAUUCAACAAAAUUUUCUAUCUUAACUUUAUAAAUAUUUGAGAAAUGAUUACUUAGAAGUAUAUGCAUGUAGAUAUGAAAUGAUUACUGAACAGUCUCUAAGUUACAAGCUUCCUGUGAAGUCAUGAUGGCAGCUAACUUCAAGUUAGGGGGCUUAUAUUUGACCAAAAUUAACCAGAACUCCUGUUUGAGGCAUUAAUUACUUAGUUUCAAGAUACCAGCUUUGUGUAAAAUCUGCAGACUACCUAUUUCAACUCGUGCAAGCUAUGCAUGCAAGAUUAACAAUCUUUCCCUGCUUUAAAAUGAAAUUAUUUGUGUUUGAGAAGAUAGAAUGAAAUCAUUUAAAAAUCCAAAGCUAGAAGAAUCAUGCAAGAUCAACAUUCAACACUAGACAACCACUUGAUGAAAAUUGAGCUAGGUCUUUAUAUAAAACUUCAAGAUAAUUAGAAUUAAUAUUCUUCGGAGUUGGGAUCCUAAUACAUAGAUACCAACUUCUUAUCCAAAUCUUAUCUUCUACAUUUUUGACAAUGCAAUUAAACAUUAAUCAUAUUAAACACAUCAUAUCUUCUUUCAGAGAAAUGCACACACACACACACACACACAGAGACCUUAUAAUAUCUAAGAGAUGACCAAGCACCCUAAUAUCACAGAUCAUCCAGCACUCUUAAUUCAUAAUUUAUCUACAAAUACAGCAACAAGCUUCCAAAUUAAGGUCGACUGCAAAAGGAUCUUACUGCUGUCCUCAUUCAACAUUUACAAUAUUAUAAUAGCAAACCAUACAUUAACAG
rnacentral:lncRNA from 1 species